ensembl:lncRNA
GGUACUGAUAUUAACCAUGAUAUCUGACUGUUUUUAACCCUGUAGGUACUGGUAUUAACCAUGAUAUCUGACUGUUGUUAACCCUGUAGGUACUGAUAUUAACUAAGAUAUCUGACUGUUUUUAACCCUGUAGGUACUGGUAUUAACCAUGAUAUCUGACUGUUUUUAACCCUGUAGGUACUGGUAUUAACCAUGAUAUCUGACUGUUUUUAACCCUGUAGGUACUGGUAUUAACCAUGAUAUCUGACUGUUGUUAACCCUGUAGGUACUGAUAUUAACCAUGAUAUCUGACUGUUUUUAACCCUGUAGGUACUGGUAUUAACCAGGAUAUCUGACUGUUUUUAACCCUGUAGGUACUGGUAUUAACCAUGAUAUCUGACUGUUGUUAACCCUGUAGGUACUGGUAUUAACCAUGAUAUCUGACUGUUUUUAACCCUGUAGGUA